UGUGUACUUCUAUAUAGUUUAAAAUCUCGACAACUUUCUGUGUCUUCUUCAGGCAUGACUUGUGUAAAUUAAAUGUUUUCUUCUCUGAGCUCAAUUUAAUUUUUUAAUUUUCUUUCUAAACACCAUGUAUGUAAGUGAAAAAGAAAUAAAUGGGUCUGUUAAGAUAGUAACACAAAAAAGUGUGCACUAAAACAAAAAAAAUAAACUUAUAAGAGUGUAAGGGAAGAUGAAAGAGUGCUUAAAUUCAAAAAAUGCACUUUUAAGUGCUUGAUAUAUUCAAAAAUAAACAAAUUGGCCUCGGGCCUUCGAGGUGGCCUCUUCCUGGGAAGAGAAAAAUUAUGGGGGCAAAGUGAACGCAGACACUGUAGAACAAGCAGAAGCUCUUAUCACAGCUGAAUUGUUUGAGGAGGAAACAGUGCCACAUCCACAAAGCCCAGGAAAUCAGGGACCAGCGGGCCCUCACACAUAUGCGCAAGUGGCAGCCUCCAGACCCCCAACUGCUACAGUAGCUCCCCCUACUAAAAAAUUUAAUUGAGCUCAGAGAAGAAAACAUUUAUUUUAUUUU